AGAGCGAACGCUGGCGGCAGGCCUAACACAUGCAAGUCGAGCGCCCCGCAAGGGGAGCGGCAGACGGGAGAGUAACACGUGGGAACGUACCCUUUGGUUCGGAACAACACAGGGAAACUUGUGCUAAUACCGGAUAAGCCCUUACGGGGAAAGAUUUAUUGCCAAAGGAUCGGCCCGCGUCUGAUUAGCUUGUUGGUGAGGUAACGGCUCACCAAGGCUACGAUCAGUAGCUGGUCUGAGAGGAUGAUCAGCCUCACUGGGACUGAGACACGGCCCAGACUCCUACGGGAGGCAGCAGUGGGGAAUAUUGGACAAUGGGCGCAAGCCUGAUCCAGCCAUGCCGCGUGGAUGAUGAAGGCCCUAGGGUUGUAAAGUCCUUUCGACGGGGAAGAUAAUGACGGUACCGUAGAAGAAGCCCCGGCUAACUUCGUGCCAGCAGCCGC
rnacentral:rRNA from 1 species